AGAGGUCACACCCGUUCCCAUAUCGAACACGGAAGUUAAGUUCUCUAGCGCCAAUGGUAGUGGGGACUUUGUCCUUGUGAGAGUAGGACGUUGUCAGGC
rnacentral:rRNA from 1 species